rnacentral:tmRNA from 4 species
GGGGAUGUACUGAUUCGCCGAUUUUGCUCUUUAAAAACUGCAAGCCGAAUUGACUCAUUCGUAAAAGAGUCAAAAUUUAAAUGCUAACAAACUUAGCGAACUCGAAGCUAAAGUUGCUCGAGCGGAAGCUCGAUUAGCCGCAGCUUUGGGUGCCCGAAAAUUUGCAUUCCAACGAUUGUACGUUUAAGGGCCAUCUUUAGUUUCUUUUCCUGAUGGGAGAUUAAAGGUGUAAACACAGUCAGGAUGCAUCUUUCAGUCUGACAAAUUGAAAGAUAAAGACCUUGUCUUACUCUUACAGUUUAAUUGUUCGUUGAAAUACUGUGAGAGGAAUUGCUCUCCUUCGCGAAAGCUACGGAGGGCAAAGCAACGAACUACGCUUGUAGAUGUUUUUAUAGCUCAAUUUCGCACGAGGGUCACACCCUCCAUCUCCACAA